rnacentral:rRNA from 1 species
CGGGUGAGUAACGCGUGAGGAACCUGCCUCAAAGAGGGGGACAACAGUUGGAAACGACUGCUAAUACCGCAUAAGCCCACGGCUCGGCAUCGAGCAGAGGGAAAAGGAGCAAUCCGCUUUGAGAUGGCCUCGCGUCCGAUUAGCUAGUUGGUGAGGUAACGGCCCACCAAGGCGACGAUCGGUAGCCGGACUGAGAGGUUGAACGGCUACAUUGGGACUGAGACACGGCCCAG